GAUGAACGCUAGCGGCAGGCCUAACACAUGCAAGUCGAGGUGCAGCACAGAAACAGCAAUGUUUUGGUGGCGACCGGCGGACGGGUGCGUAACGCGUAUGCAACCUACCUUUAACAGGGGGAUAACGGAGAGAAAUUUCCACUAAUACCCCAUAACAUCGAUCAAGGCAUCUUGAUUGGUUGAAAACUCCGGUGGUUAAAGAUGGGCAUGCGUUGUAUUAGGUAGUUGGUGAGGUAAUGGCUCACCAAGCCUACGAUACAUAGGGGGACUGGGAGGUUAGCCCCCCACACUGGUACGGAGACACGGACCAGACUCCUACGGGAGGCAGCAGUGAGGAAUAUUGGUCAAUGGGGGCAACCCUGAACCAGCCAUGCCGCGUGCAGGAAGACGGCUCUAUGAGUUGUAAACUGCUUUUAAACAGGGAUAAAGCACAGUAUGUAUACUGUGUUGAAGGUACUGUAAGAAUAAGGAUCGGCUAACUCCGUGCCAGCCGCCGCCGUAA
rnacentral:rRNA from 1 species